GACAGAGGUCCCGAGCGUUGUUCGGAUUCAUUGGGCGUAAAGGGUGUGUAGGAGGUUGGGUAAGUCAGGUGUGAAAUCUCAGAGCUUAACUCUGAAACUGCGCUUGAUACUGCUCAGCUAGAGGAUCGGAGGGGGUAACGGAAUUUAUGGUGUAGCAGUGAAAUGCGUAGAUAUCAUAAGGAACACCGGUGGCGAAGGCGGUUACCUGGAAGAUUCCUGACUCUGAAACACGAAAGCCAGGGGAUCAAACGGG
rnacentral:rRNA from 1 species